AAAUUUUGGUUCUGUGUACAAAGGAAAUCUUGUGUCAGAAGAUAAUGUUGUUGCUGUAAAAGUCCUGAACCUCCAAAAGAAGGGAGCUCACAAGAGUUUCAUUGUUGAAUGUAAUGCGCUCAAGAAUAUUAGACAUCGAAAUUUAGUUAAGAUUUUAACAUGUUGUUCUAGUACAGAUUACAAAGGUCGGGACUUUAAAGCUUUAGUUUUUGAUUGCAUGAAAAACGGGAGUUUAGAACAAUGGUUGCAUCUCAACAUGUCAAAUGCAGAGCAUCCAACAACAUUGGACCUCAUUCAUAGAUUAAACAUCAUUAUUGAUGUUGCUUCUGCAUUACAUUAUCUUCAUCAAGAAUGUGAGCAAUUGGUCAUUCAUUGUGAUCUAAAGCCAAGCAAUGUCCUUCUGGAUGAUGACAUGGUUGCUCAUGUGAGUGAUUUUGGCAUAGCAAGACUUGUCUCAGCCAUUGGUGGUACCUCUCAUAAGAACACGAGUACAAUUGGAGUAAAAGGAACUGUUGGCUAUGCUCCUCCAGGUAUGUUCUAAAUUAUUGAAUGUUCCAUUGUUUCUUUGAAUCCUAAUAUGUUUUUGAGUAGACUUAAUAUUAUACUAGGGACAUAUAGUAUUAACAACUUUUGCUACAUGUUUUAGAGUAUGGGAUGGGUUCUGAAGUGUCCACAUAUGGCGACAUGUAUAGCUUUGGAAUCCUGAUGUUGGAAAUGCUUACUGGUAGAAGACCCGUUGAUGAAGCUUUCAAAGAUGGUCAAAAUCUGCAUAACUUUGUUGAAAUUUCAUUUCCUGGUAAUCUUAUGAAGAUUUUGGACCCACAUCUUGUAUCAAGAGAUGCACAAGUAGCAAUGCAAGAUGGAAAUGGUGUGAAUCUUAUUCCAACCGUUGAGGAGUGCUUAGUUUCACUUUUUAGGAUUGGACUUAUUUGUUCAAUGGAAUCACCGAAAGAAAGAAUGAAUAUUGCGGAUGUCACUAGAGAGCUUAGCAUAAUCAAAAAAGCCUUUCUCUCUGGUGAGACAAACAUAUAUUUUUAUAUGUUUAUUUGAAUCAUAACAAACUCAUUAAUUUCUUAUAGAGUUAUAAUUUGAUUUUAAUAAUGUUAUUGUGUAUUUGAAAUUCCUUAACAGCAGAAUACAAUGGUAAUGUGUUUCUUCUUGAUUGAACUUUCAGGUGUACGCACUCAUAAUUAGUAAUCAAAGCUGAACUAAAUUUCUAAGGUCAUUUGUGGAAAGAGUAUUGUAUUCAACUUGAUGCGUUGUUGUUAAGAAACUGAAUGGUCCUUCUGGAAGCACAUGUAACAAUUUCUAGUUAUUAGCAACAUUUGGUUCUGUAUGAUUGUGUUUAAUGUAGAUUUGCUUGCAUCCUACUAGUAGUUAUAAGUAAAGGAAAAUGAUAUAUACAGCGAAGGAUUUUUUCACGAAUCCAUCACGAUAGUGCAAUUUAGCCACAUAACACCACACCUACCUGUAUUCCGUCAAAUCCGGAAUUUAUGUGUUACCCAAACUGUUUUGCAAUUGUGUUGUAUAUAGGGGUCGUGAAAUUUCGUGAAACACCCAUUCGCUGGAUAUAGCACUCCUCAUAAGUAAAUAAUAUUGUUGUAUUACUUUCUAAUUCAGUGAAAUGAGAAUUGAUACUUCUCCUAUAUUUAUCUUAAAUUUCAUUUCUUUGUCACUGUAGUCUGUGGUUAAAACUGUGGGUGCAAAAUUAUGUGUAACAUAAUCAUUGUAUGAUCUUAAUUUUGGAUAAUCCAUUAGAAGAUUAUUUACUAGUAUAAAGUUAUAGUACAUUUGAGUCUCUGGAAGAUUCAAUUUAUAUAAGAUCACAGAAGGGAAGAGUUUGUUUGUUUGUUUGUAUGAAGAGUUAUAUACUCAUGCUUAAUCAAGCAACAAAUAAUGAAGUAUGAGACCAUAGUAUACAACAGAGGAUGUUCAUUUCCUUCUCUGUUUUGUUAUUUGAUUGAGCAAUAACAGAACAAUGAUGAACCAAAAUGAUCCAUAAUAUUAUCUCACGAAAUGACAUAUUUAUCGAAGAGGUGAGAAGACAUACCUAAAAGUUGUCUUCUUUCAACAUUUAUGGACCUAUGCAGCAGGGCUUCACACAUUUUCAAACACAUUACCUCAUUGGUCUCUAUCGAAUGCAGAACACAGGAACGUAAGAGUCUGUUUAGUUUCCGAGUUUCCAUGUUUCCUGUUUUCAUUUCCACCGAAAAUAAUACAUAAGAAUUAGAGAAUCCAUUAUAGAAAUUUGGUAAGGCCUGUUCAGCUUACUGGUUUCUAUGUUCAUUGAAGUUAUCUUGCAUCUAUGACAUGAUCAAAGGAUAAUUGAACAAUUUCCGAACUGAAAUGCAUAAACUUUCAAACAUGAAUGAGUUUGAAGAACACUAACAGAGUUAGACAGAAAACUGAUAAAAAAAGGUAAUGUACAUGUUUUAUGACUUAAAUAACUUAAAGGACCGCAAGAUAUAUUUUUCCAUAUACUAUCCUGAUACUUUGACACACAUGUUCAUAUCAAAUGAUUAUGCAAUAUUUUACCAUCUGAGUUGUACUUACAAGACAUAUGGACAUUAAUCUUAAUGAAAUAGGAAAUUAUUAUAUGUUAAUGUCAAAGUUUAUAGGAAUGAUAUAUAUGAUAAUAACUUUCUUUCCAACGGUUGAUUUUAAAAAAUAUAAUUGAAUGUAACCAUAUGUAUAACACACCAGACGUGCCUUCGAUCAGAAAUUUUGGUGCUUUAGAGGUUUAAAAGCAUUAUACAAGUUGAAGUAAUGACUGCAAAUGCCUCAGUUUAAUAGCAGGCAAGGCUUAUGUAAAAUCAUAGUAUGUUGAUUUCCAUAGAAAAAGUCAAAAUUUGAAUGCAAUGUAUAAAUAUCAAGAUACCAAUAAAGUCAAGCAUCUGCAUCUAUAUGCCAUGACCUUACAUUCUAUUCAAACCAUUUAAUUAGAAUAGUUACCAUUUAAAUAUGUUGGCUAAGAAUGUCAAAGCAAAUACCUGAUGUUUGUUUGAGUCAAUGAUGAAAGCUCCAUGUUUGAUUUCUCGGCUGUCUCGGUAAGUCGCUAAAGAGCUUGUUUGUCUUUCAAAAGGUCUAUACCUUCAUCUCUCUUGAAAUCUCCAGCCAACCAAUCAACAACUCUAAAUAUCAAACAGAUGAAAAUAAGAAACUGUCAAUAAACAUAUGUUGAUCAAUACAUUUAUAAUUAUUAAAUAGAACUAGAGUGAGGAAGAACAAGUCCAACCUUAUCAAAAUCAUCACCACCCAAGUGUAUCACCAGAGUAGACAAAACUUCAAAAACUCUGUCACCAACCUCAAGCACUGAAACAAAAUUCAAUACAAAUCAAGUCUCAAACCCUAUAAAAUAAAAAUUUGAAAGCAGGACAACAGGAAUGGCUUCCAAUACCUGAAACAUCAAAAGUACCACUUUCAAGGUCAUACACUUGCAAGAGCUAUACAUUCUUUGUUUGCCCAAUUUAAGUACUAGGUCUUCACUCAAAGGGAACUUACUCAACUCAUACCUUGCAAGUUGCAAGUACCAUCACAGCAACCAAGUCUUCACAAAGUUUUGUCUCUUUUCAACACUUUAAGGAAUCCAAAUCGUAUGUUGUCCAAAGAAGGCAAGAUUAGCUAGCUCCAACCAAUCCUUAACUUUAACUGCUAUGAUUCCAUGAUGCAAAAGUGUUCUACCAUCUCUGCAUUCAGCAAACAAAUAUGUAAAUGGCUUGUGAAAAUCACCUAAAGCAAUUAGUAGCUUGAUAAUUACAUCAUGAUAAUUGACCAGAAGUUGACUUUUUUAGGUUUGACUGUCAUAUGAAUUGUUAAUUGCAAAUAUUGCUGUGCUGUCAAAUGAAGCUUUUGUUAAGAAAAAAGAGGCCCAGUACAUGUUUCUAAACACUACCAAAGCAUUUUAAGCCAAACUAUGCUCACAAUAUUGACUAACAUAUAAUUAGGAGUGACAUAAAUGUGAAGGGCAUAUUCUACUGCAAGUUCCUCAUAAGCAACAAAAACACCACAAAGAUUAAAACACUUAGUUUUAAGAGAAUUAACUACAUGAAGCCUAACCAAAANNNNNNNNNNNNNNAUAAAUAAAAAACUUCAAAGAGUACCAAUGCAACAUGUUGGUAAAUGUGCAUUUAAUAGGUUUAAUAUUCACUCUUUGAAGACCUUUGGAUAAAGAUGGCAUUCCAAACAGCCACUUGGAGUGUAGGCAUUUCAUCAAACACUUGGAAGGCAAGUUAACAACAUUGUAAAUGAACACCAAUCAGGGUAUGAGCUCAACUGGCGUGGUCUUCCAUGAACUCUCCUCAAUAGCAGCACGGUGGAUGUUUCUUGAUGACACUGAGGCGACAACCUUGUCUGGUGGUUCCGGCAGCGGAAUUAUUUUCGACGUACGUGGUGAGAAUGAGAUGGAAUUGAGGGUUUAUGAUGGUAUUUAGGGUUUUUGGAUCAUCAAAAUCAGAAUUGAGGGAAUCAUAAUCAAAUUCAGAUUGAAGGGAAGGAAUUACUGUUCCGACCAACUUUUUUUCCGUCACUAAUUUUCGGUCUCUAAUAUUAUGUCUCUAAUUCGAUCGCUAAUAUUUUGGUCUCUUUAGUCUAAAACUCAUUUGUGACUGAUUUAGCAACGAAACUAUAUAUUUUACUAUAAAGUUUCUAAUUCGGUCGCUAAUGUGACCAAAAAAUUUUGUAUUUUUAUGUUUUUCUCCACCUAGUAUACCAUUUAAUUCAAGGAUAUAUAAUACAUAGGGACCAAAAACAAAAUCAUGGAUGCUCUCGCACCGCCUUCACUCAUGUUCAUAAUAGGUUAUUUUGUCAGCUCAGCGGUAAUUAUCGAACACAGAACACAAAAGCCCAAUAUUUCCAAAGUCCUACGGGCCCGUUUGGUGCGCAGGAUAGCAUAGUGACAGGAUAGGAUAUAAAACAGGAUAAGGAUAGGAUAUGAUAACAGCAGGAUAACAGUUAUACUCAGUUAUCAUAUCAUGUGUUUGGUGCACACAGGAUAANNNNNNNNNNNNNNNNNNNNNNNNNNNNNNNNNNNNNNNNNNNNNNNNNNNNNNNNNNNNNNNNNNNNNNNNNNNNNNNNNNNNNNNNNNNNNNNNNNNNNNNNNNNNNNNNNNNNNNNNNNNNNNNNNNNNNNNNNNNNNNNNNNNNNNNNNNNNNNNNNNNNNNNNNNNNNNNNNNNNNNNNNNNNNNNNAUAUUUUAUAAAAUAAAUCAGUAUUUUUUUUUCUUAUCCUAUCCUGCUGGUAACCCAGCUCAAAUUCAGGAUAAGAAUUAUAACUAGAGAGACAUGAUAGGAUAAGCUUCAGGAUUAACUUAUCAUAUCCUGCUGUAUCACCAAACAUUGGAUUGCGGCAGGAUAUGAUACAGUUAUCCUAUCAUGUCUCUUAUCCUGUGCACCAAACGGGCCCUACAUGUUUCAACUUUACUUCUACAAAUCUGAAAUUUCUUGUAUGAAACUUGAGAAUACAAAUACAUAUACAUUGCAGGUUGACUCAGUAACACAGAAACUCUUGGAUGCAAAACCACAAUUGUGUGUACAAUUUAUUUGGUCAUAAUUAAGAAACCUAUAGUUUUCUUAUAUACUACUGACUAAGACCUUAGGCUUCCACCCUUCUCCUUUCCUGUGUGUGACCUCCGCAACAGCAACAUCCCACAUCAGAAACCACAUAAGACUAUUUCCAGGAAGAUCAAUAAGUAAAGUUCAUGGAAAUUAGUGGAAUUUUUUCUUUUGAAACAAAAAAUUAUUGGAAUUGAAGUCCAUAUAUUUAGAUAACAUAUAAUAUAGUAAUUCACUUCCCAUAAACAAUCUAAAAGUCCAUAGAAAUUGAGUUAGUGCAUUUGGAAUUAUAGUUUCAUCCCUAGGCAUGCUGGCCUCCACUGGUUAAAGCCACAAUCAGAAUCAAGUAGCACUGGUUGGAAACUAAUGGCGUCUUUGGAAAUGCAACUCAAGUAGCACUGAUUGGAAACAACAAGCUUUGUGGAGGUAUUUCGCAUAUGCAUUUACCAUCAUGUCCUAUCACGCAUAGGAAACAUGCAAAACACCAUAAAGUCAAGUUGAUAGUUGCGAUAGUUGGUGUGAUUUCUUUUCUUUUCAUACUUUCAUUUGUUAUAAUUAUCUACCGGAUGAAGAAAAGAAAUCAAAAACGAUCUGUCGAUUCACCAAUUAUUGAUCAACUAACUAAGGUUUCGUACCAAGCCUUAGGCUCAGGAAGUUUUGGUUCUGUGUACAGAGGAAAUCUUAUGUCAGAAGAUAAUGUUGCUAUAAAGGUCCUGAACCUCCAAAAAAGGGGAGCUCACAAGAGUUUCAUUGUUGAAUGUAAUGCACUCAGAAAUAUUAGACACCGAAAUUAGUUAAGAUUUUAACAUGUUCUAGUACAGAUUACAAAGGCCAAGAAUUUAAAGCUUUAGUUUUUGAUUACAUGAAAAAUGGAAGCUUAGAACAAUGGUUGCAUCCUGAGAUUUUAAAUGCAGAGGCGCAGAGCCUCCAACAACAUUGGACCUCGGUCAAAGAUUAAACAUCAUUAUCGAUGUUGCUUCUGCAUUACAUUAUCUUCAUCAUGAAUGUGAGCAGUUGGUCAUUCACUGUGAUCUAAAGCCAAGCGAUGUCCUUCUUGAUAAUGACAUGGUUGCACAUGUGAAUGAUUUUGGCAUAUGAAAACUCAUCUUCACCAUUGGCGGUACCUCCCAUACAGAUACCAGUACAAUUGGAAUAAAGGGAACUGUUGGCUAUGCUCCCCCGGGUAUGUUCUAAAUUCUUGAAUAUUACUUUGNNNNNNNNNNNNNNNNNNNNNNNNNNNNNNNNNNNNNNNNNNNNNNNNNNNNNNNNNUCCUACAUAUGUUAGAGUAUGGAAUGGGUUCUGAAGUGUCCACAUGUGGUGACAUGUAUAGCUUUGGAAUCCUUGUGUUGGAAAUGCUUACUGGUAGAAGACCAACCGACGAAACUUUGGAAGAUGGUCAAAAUCUGCAUAACUUUGUUUGGAUUUCAUUUCCUGAUAAUCUUAUAAAGAUUUUAGACCCACAUAUUUUAUGAAGAGAUGCUGGAGUUUCAAUACAAGAUGGAAACAGUGAGAAUCUUAUUCCAAGGGUAGAGCAGUGCUUAGUUUCACUUUUUAAGAUUGGACUUGUUUGUUCGAUGGAGUCACCAAAAGAAAGAAUGAAUAUUGUGGAAGUCAAUAGAGAACUAAUCAUAAUCAAAAGGCCUUUCUUGCUGGUGAGAUAAACUGAUAUUUAUAUAUGCUUAUUUGAAUGAUAACAAACUCAUUAAUUGCUUAUGGAUUAUUAUUUGAUUUUAAUAAUCUUAUUGAGCAUUUCAAGUUCCUAAACAGCAAAAUACAAUGGUAAUAAUGUGCUUCUUCUUGAUUGAAAUUCCAGGUGUUCGCGCUCAUAAUUAGUAAUCAAAGCUGAACUAAAUUUCUACAGUCGUUUGUGGAAAGAGAACUGUAUUCAACUUGAUGCCAUGUUGUUAAGAAACUGAAUGGUUCUUCUGUAAGCACAUGUGACAAUUUCUAGUUAUUCAAUGACUUCGGUUUGGAACAUUUGGUUCUGUAUGAUUUGUCUGCAAUCUACUAGUUGCUAUAAAUAAGUAAUUAAUGUUGUAUUGCUUUCUGUUUCAAUGAAAUGAGAAUUGAUACUUCUCCAAUAUUUAUCUUCAAUUUCAUUUCUUUGUCAAGUAUUUUCUUUCAUUUCUUUGUAGUUAAAACUGUGGGUGCAAAAAUUGUAGAUCAUGCAUAUAUACAAAUUCAGAAUACCAAGUUGAUAAAAUGAAUACCUCUCCAUGAAAUUUGUAUUUAACACACUUGGAUACAGCAGAGGAUGUUCAUCUUUUAAUUUUCUGUUUUCUGAUUUGAUGGAGCAAUAACAGAUCAAUGAUGAUCAACCAAAAUCAUCAAUAUUAUUUCAUGAAAUUGAAAAGACGUUAUUUAUUUGAAGACAUACCUAAAAAGUUGUCUUGUUUCAACCGUUAUAUACAAAUUUCCUUAUUUACAUGAUUCGGAUUCAACACUCCUACCAUAAAAUUAAAUGUUAAGAAGUUUCACAUCGGAUGUGAGUUGGCCUGAACGUGGGUUUAUAAGUAAGAGACAAUUCUCACCUUACAAGCUGAUUUUGUAGAAUCGAGUUAGGCUCAACUCUCAAUUAUAAGACUAUUAGUGUGUCUUUUGUCUCUUGAAUUUUUAUGAGUGUAGUCCAACUCCUGUUAGUUUUUUCUGUUAAGAGCUUAUAUCGCUAGGGUAGCUACCCCAAACUAGCUACCCCAAUUAAUCUCUUGUAGUUCUUGUCGCGGCGCGAAAAAUAUCCUCGAGUGUAAACACUCGAAAAGAAACAGAGUCGCCACCGAAUUUUAUUUAGCCCAAAGAAGGGAAAGGAAAAUAUCGAGAAAACCUUAAGUGGUGAGAAAAAUGGGUUCGGGAGUUGGUUAUGCGAGGGGAAGGUAUUAGCACCCCUCACAUCCAUUGUACUCAACGGGAACCUUUUAGAGGGAAAUGUUUGUUUGCUUUAAUGUGUUUUUUAAUGUUUGCUUGAUUACUUGUUUCUUGCUUCAUCAAUAGAGAAGAUUUAUUUUUUAUUAUUAUUUAUGUUAUUAUGGAUGCGGGGAAAAAUGUUUGUUUUUUAUUAUUGUGCCCGACAAGAUGUUGAAUCCUGCUCCUACGUAUUCCCAGGUGCAAUGGGAAAAUCAGGGUUUCGUAGUUCAGGGUAAAAAAUGUUUGUGGGUUGGUUGUUUUUAGACGCAUGACGUCUAAGUCGCAUUCUCGUAUUUAAACGCUGCUUGUAUGCUCGCACUUUGGAGGCUUAAGCGCGGUUUGUAUUACGGAGAAAGGACGAAGUCACCCGUUUUAUGAAAAGAGUUUUACUUUUACUACGCGCGUGGGCAGUGAAAAGGUUUGAGUGUGUUGAGUUGAUUUUAGGAGUUUUAAUGAAAACGUCCGAGAAUGAGGAUAAUCCGAGUCACGAGCCAUACGUCAGGGCCUCGAAUUAUCCGGGGAAGAAAGCCAUACGUCAGACUNUUAAGUUCUUUUAUUUGAUUUAAGAAAAUCAAAAAGAAAGAUAAAGCAGAUGAUGAAGUGUUUUAAUGUUUUUUAGCGUUGGGGAAUGAGAAUGAUUCAAGUCACGAGCCAUACGUCAGGGUCUCGAAUCAUUCGGGGAGAGAAAGUCAUACGUCAGACUAACCCUUUUUCAUUCCAUUUAUUUUAAUUGUGAGGUUUUUUCAAGUAAAGAAGUGUUUUUGAGAAACAAACUUGAGAUAAAAGUAUUAAAUCAAGUAAAUAAUCCAAGCAUGAACUUAUUUGAAUAAGCACUUAUAUAAAUAAGCACUUAAAAGUAAAUAAAACGCUUCUGGGGUGCAAAACUGAUAUUGGGGGUGCGAAAAUGAAAUCUGGGGACUGGGCUUAACAAGUCAAGGCCCAACAUUAAAGUCAAGAAGGAGGUAAUCCAGUGUGUCAUGAAAGCAGAGGCACACAGUAGACGUCAUGGAUCUGAGCCUUUGAUUAAAUCAGACAGCUGUGGUUUAAAACUCACAUAGCAGAUCUCGGUCCUUGGAUUAAUCUAACGGAGGCGUUUUAAAAUGGAGGGAGCCAAUGACCUGUCGCCACGUCAUCGUCUUCAACCUCCUUCACCUUCUUUACUUGAAAAACAACAAAAGGGAAGCCAUGAAAAAGCUUUGAAGCUCACGGCCAACAACAACAACUUGGCCAAAACUUCAUCAAAAAUUACAAACUUAUAUACCGUUUCGCUCGAAAUAUUGCGUAGAUCAUGAUUAAAAACUUAGAUUUUUGAAAAGGUGUUUGUAUCUCAAAAAAAGUUCGAAACUUUAAAACCCAAAAAAACUUUAAAUUUCACAUUUGUACGAUUUAAGAAAAAUCAAGGGUUGGAAAAGCUUCAGAUGAUGUUCAGGAGUAAAAAGCGUUUAGAAUCUUACUGGUUUCGAGCUCUGUUUUGGUGGGUUAACACCUACUCUUUUCUUUGCUAUUUUGAACUUUGAGUAAGCUUCUCUCAACGGUUUUCCUUCGUUUUUUCUGGUGUGUUUCGCUACUGGUAUGUGUUAGAAGGGAUUAGUGAAAGAAAAUUGAAGUUUUAUGUGUGUAUUUGUGGAUUUCGAAUUUUGAGUGAAAAUGGUGAAAAGGAUGAGUUUUGGUUUUUUCUCUCACUCUUCUUCCUCUAACUAUCGCCCCCCAAUUUGUCCUCCCCUUGUUCUGAUUCGUUUGGAUCAAUUUAUAGGAUCAAUUGAUCAAUGCCUAUGACCAUUGGAUAAUUUUGAGUGUUGAUUAAAGUGUGCUUUGGCUGAAAAUUUGGUUUUGCAAAGAUAAAAGAAGAAAUGAAGUGAUUGGUCUUUCACACUUGAGUGUAAAACUUGAGAAACUUUUGCUUAAUUUGAGAUUGAGUUAAGAGUUGAAAAGGGUGAAGAAAUCUGAAAACAGGGGAAGGAGGCGUGCCCUGCUUCUACUGUUGCUACUACAGAGAAAAAGGAAGGGAAAGUGGCGUGCAGCAGUGCAAGCGGCACUGUUGCUGCUGUUGUUUCUUUUUUUCUUUUUUUAUUUAUUUUUUAUUAUAAUAAUAAUAAUAAAAUAAGUGAAAAAUAAUAAAUAAUAGGAUAAAAAAUAAUUUAAAAAAAGGUAGGAUAAAAUUAGGGUAUGACAGUUCUCUUUUAUGGGUCUUGUGUCCCCUUUUUUAACAAAACAAAAAAAGUGUAUUCCUAACGGUAACCUUUACUCAAUUUAGUGGAAAUGAAGUUCAUGGAAAUUCCAUUAGUGGAUUUGGAAUUGGAGCUUCCAUUAUUAUACAUGUUGAAAUUGACCAAGACUAAUAGAAUCAUACCGUAUAGAUAAUUGUUAAUAUUGUUUUGGCUAAUUAUUGAUAGCAUAUACUUCACUUCCCACAAACGAUAUCUAAAGUCCAUGGAAAUUGAUAAAGUUAGUGGAUUUGGAAUUAUGAGUAACUUAAGAAAUCCACUUGGGUACGUUACUAUGUUAGUAGUGGAUUUGGAAUUAUAGCUUCCAUUAUCAUAUACAUGUGCAUCUAUUAAGGAUGACGGGAAAUCUUAAACCCGAUAGAUCCACCUGAACUUAAACUCAAGUCAACGGACGAAACUCGAAUUGACUGGGUUUAGGUUUGGGUUCGGGUGGCACCCGGAUAUAUGGAUGUAGGUUUGGGUAGUAUCAAACCCGCACUCAUGGGCACCCAUUGUCAUCCCUACAUCUAUUGUUUGGUAGUUCCAAAAUAUAUUUGAAAGGUUGAAAUGGUUAAUUUGAAAUUCAAAUUUACAUUUUUGAAAGUCUUUUAAAGGUUGUGUCCCUUCAUCAUUUGACAUAAGUUUCUCUAUAAAUAGAGACACUUAGGAGACAGAAAAUACACAACAGAAAUUAUGUGUUUCCAUGAGUCACGAUUCUGUCUAAAUUAUUUCUAAAUCAUUUCUUCAUUUCUCUAGGGCACAAGGGUCAUUGAAGAAACUUUAUUCCGUAAAAUAUCGUUGAUCGAUAUGCUUGAUGUGUACGUGCAAUCCAUGUCAAGGUUUCCAAAGUAUCCUGAAAGGGAUUCGCCGAUGAACCCAUUUGCAUCCGGUUUACAUAAACUGGUGGGGACGAAUCGAACCUAAAGCUUAAUGUGUCCACGCACGCUUUGGAAUUUAUGUGCACCAUCAUCAUGUCUAUUUUCAUCAUCUUCUUGUUCGAGUAUUUGCAGCAAUCCACCAACACAAAACGUUCACACAAAAUAUAUAUUUCUAUGUUUACAAUUUUAAAUAUUAUUUAGACAUAUUCACAUUAAAAUAUACAUAUAUUAUUUAACUUAAGAUUACUUUGAUGAGAUGGUAAGAAAUAUCUUCCAGUUGUUGCAAAAACAAUAAUAAUAAAUAAUUUCUUCCAGCCAAAUCAAAUGUUUUGCGUUUGAGUUCAAUUCUCAGAAUGCAGCAGUGUUACAUUUUUUGAAUCAGUCCUGUGCUGAGGCAUAUUGUGUUUUUUGGAGGAUUCUAGUCCAAUUUGAUUAGUGGCGUGGCCGUCGAGUUGGUUGUUUCCUGAGUUUGUCGCUCUUGUGCUUACUUCUCCGUGCCUGCUCUGGUAGUGCCUAGGGUGUUGUUCGGUCUGUUUUCUUGUACUUCUUUUUUAUGUAUAUAAGCCUUUUCUUUUGAAAAAUUUACAAUCACCUUCCUUAAGGUUACCCUUAAAUGACAGAGACAUCCGCUCUAGUUUUUAAAAAAUACUCACCUCCAUUUAAUUUAACCCCGUUAAAAUACCGUUAAAGAAAAAUUGUCACGUCUCACAAAUUGCUUCUCAACUCUUUGUAAGCGAGAGCCCUGAAUUCUAAAACAGUUAUGGCGCGCAGAACUCUUUGUACUCUUAACGCAAAUUUGAACGCCAUAUUCCAUCCGGCUUGCUUGCUCUAUAUAUAGUUGUGCCAUUUAUGAGGGGUUAUGUUACUUGAUGUUUCUCGAUUGGAAAAAUUUAACUAAAAGGACUAACUUGAAACUUCUUAAACUUAAGGGACCAAAUUAAAACCUAAAAUAAACAUAACGACCAAAUAUACAAUUAAGCCUAAAACCUAUUAAACUAUAUAAGGACAAAAAAAAUUAAAUUUCCAUUCACCGCUAGAUCUUGCCACCAGUAUAUAUAUGCAUAUGAAUGCUUCCUCUCUAUAUUCCCACAAAACUAUCAAACACAAACAAAACUAAAUAUCAUAAACCACUCUCCUCUAAACAAAAUGAAGUCUUUUUCUUUCUUGUCACCUACACUUUUAUACCUUCAUCUGCUUUUUCAGUUUACCUUUAAUUUAAUGUGCUUUGGCCCAAACAAAAUUGUAGCAAUGGCUACAAUAUUAGGAAACCAAACAGAUCAUUUUGCAUUGCUCAAAUUUAAAGAACCAAUAUCCGAUGAUCCAAAUGGAAUCUUAGAUUCUUGGAACUCUUCCAUCCACUUUUGUAAGUGGGGUGGAAUCACAUGCAACCCCAUGCAUCAACGAGUUAUAGGAUUGAACCUAGNNNNNNNNNNNNNNNNNNNNNNNNNNNNNNNNNNNNNNNNNNNNNNNNNNNNNNNNNNNNNNNNNNNNNNNNNNNNCAAUUGCAACAACUUUAUCUCACCAAUAACUCUUUUGUAGGUGAAAUUCCUACAAACUUGACAUAUUGCUCCAAUCUUAAAGACUUAUUCCUGUCAGGGAACAAUCUCAUUGGUAAAAUACCAAUUGCAAUUGCCUCGUUGAAAAUGCUUCAAAGAAUGACUCUUUCUAGUAACAAAUUAACUGGAGGAAUCCCUUCAUUCAUAGGGAAUCUUUCAUGCUUAACGCAGUUUUCGUUUGCCGAUAACAACUUAGAAGGAGAUAUUCCACAGGCAAUUUGUCUCCUAAAAAAGUUGACAGUUUUACGAGUGGGUGUGAACAAUUUGUCAGGUACCCCUCCUUCUUGUCUUUACAACAUCACCUCACUUACUAUAUUUUUCAUGGCAAUAAAUAACUUUCAUGGCCCUCUUCCACCCAACAUGUUUCACACUCUCCCAAAUAUCCAAAUGUUUGGUAUUGCAAAAAAUCAAUUUUCAGGUCCAAUCCCCACUUCUAUAAACGCAUCUUCUUCCAUUAAUUUUCUUGAUAUCCCUGACAAUAAUUUUGUUGGACAAGUUCCAAGUCUAGGAAAGCUAAAAGAUUUAUACCAUCUAAAUUUGGAACGAAACAAUUUAGGUAACAAUUCCGCUAAGGAUUUAGAGUUUUUAAAACCUUUGACAAACUGUAGUAAAUUGUAUUUGCUUUCUUUUGACACAAAUAACUUUGGAGGCGUUCUGCCAAAUUCUAUAGGCAAUUUAAGCAAUGAGCUUAAAAUGCUAUAUCUUGGGUGUAACAUGAUAUCAUGAAAAAUUCCUGCUGAAUUAGGACAUCUAGUUGGCUUAAUAUCCUUGUACUUGGAAUCUAACCACCUUGAAGGAGUUAUUCCAACUACUUUUGGAAAGUUUCAAAAAUUGCAACUGUUAAGUUUAAGAAAUAACCAGUUGUCAGGAGAUAUACCACACUUUGUAGGUAAUCUCAGUCAAUUGUUUAUUUUGGAUUUAUAUGAUAAUACAUUUGAGGGAAAUAUUCCUCCAAGCAUAGGAAACUGCCAAAAGUUACAAUAUCUAAAACUUUCACAAAAUAAGUUUAGAGGAACCAUACCUUUAGAGGUUUUUAAUCUUUUUUCUUUAACAAACCUCUUGGACUUGUCACAUAACUCUUUGAGUGGUAGCUUACCAAAAGAAGUGGGUAUGCUAAAAAAUAUAGAUUGGCUAGAUGUUUCUGAAAAUCAUUUGUCUGGGAAUAUUCCUGAAACUAUUGGUGAAUGUGUAAGCUUAGAGUACCUCAAUUUACAAGGGAAUUCCUUCAACGGAACAAUACCAUCCUCUUUGGCUUCUCACAAAGGUCUGCGAUAUUUGGACCUAUCAAGAAAUCAAUUCUACGGACCAAUUCCUGAUGCUAUGCAAAACAUCUCUAGCUUAGAAUACUUGGAUGUUUCUUACAACAUGUUGGAAGGUGAGGUGCCGAUAUAUGGUGUAUUUGGAAAUGCAACACAAGUAGAAAUUAUUGGAAACAAUAAGCUUUGCGGAGGUAUUGCACAACUGCAUCUACCACCAUGCCAUAUCAACGGCAUAAAACACCCAAAACACCAUGAAUUCAGGUUCAUAAUAGUGAUAGUUAGUGUGGUUUCUUUCCUUCUCAUUCUUUCAUUUAUUAUAACCAUCUAUUGGAUGAGGAAAAGAAAUCAAAAACGAUCUUUUGAUUCACCAACAAUCGAUCAACUAACUAAGGUUUCAUAUCAAGCCUUACAUCGAGGAACCGAUGGGUUCUCGACUAGAAACUUGAUAGGCUCAGGAAGUUUUGGUUCUGUGUACCGAGGAAAUCUUGUGUCAGAAGNNNNNNNNNNUAUUAGACACCGAAAUUUAGUUAAGAUCUUAACAUGUUGUUCGAGUACAGAUUACACAGGCCAAGAAUUUAAAGCUUUAGUUUUUGAUUACAUGAAAAAUGGAAGCUUAGAACAAUGGUUGCAUCCCGAGAUUUUAAAUGCAGAGCCUCCAACAACAUUAGACCUCAGUCAUAGACUAAACAUCAUUAUUGAUGUUGCUUCUGCGUUACAUUAUCUUCAUCAUGAAUGUGAGCAAUUGGUCAUUCAUUGUGAUCUAAAGCCAAGCAAUGUCCUUCUUGAUAAUGACAUGGUUGCACAUGUGAGUGAUUUUGGCAUAUCAAGACUCAUCUUAACCAUUGGCAGUACCUCCCAUUAAGAUACCAGUACAAUUGGAAUAAAGGGAACUGUUGGCUAUGCUCCUCCGGG
rnacentral:lncRNA from 1 species